ACUUCCGCAUCUCAGAGAGGAGACGUCAGUGUUAGAUGUGGCCCAAAGGACAAAGCUAAUGUUACUGAUGUGGGAACAGAGGCAAAAAGAAAUAUAGAUAGAAUUAAAUUUCCUUAUAACCCGCAGCCCACUGACAAAUACUCGAGGCGGGCAGAGUAUGACCUUCCCCGGGAACUCCCAACUGUCUUAAAGUCAAUGCUUUGCUGGAGGGAAAAACAACCUUAGCCUGACAAUAGCUAGGCCUCCAGGAUCCUGUGGGUCUUUAGCAUAUGACAGUCCGUUUGGAAACUUCACGUCUUCACUUCCCCCAGUUCCCUGGUAUAUAAUCAGUCACCCCUCAUAAUCCCAGUGAAGCACUCUCUGCCCAAGGGUCCUGUCCCCAUGCUUUAAUAAAACUACCUUUUUGCACGGAAGGCAUCUCAAGAGUAGGCUGCAAACCCUAACAUUCCCACAUCAUUACCACUUCUACCUGGAAGGCAGGAAUUGAGUGACCCUUUUGAGCCUCUGCUCUCUCCCCUGUAAAACAGAACCACAACUCCUUCAGAAUUACAGAAUGCGGGAGCCAGCGGGGAGACCUGAAUCCAGUCCCCAGGGACCAUUGCUGUAACUUCUGCCCAGUAACAGUUGUGGUGUACUGUAUUUAUGUCUGUCUCUCCCACCAUAACCAACUCUUCUCUGUCUUUGAAACCCCAGUGCCUUAGACCCAGGAAGGCCUCAGGUAAAUGUCUGUCGAGCAAAUAAUGAAUACGAGAAGAAAGAGAAAGGAAUCGGUGAAGUACAACACAGCCUUCCACAGGACCUGUGAGAAACAAAAUCGCCUGGAGAAUUCAGGCUCGUGCAUUCAGAAUUAGUUCACAUUUGGCAAUUAACAGCGUCAGCCAGUCAAUGUUUGCUGGGAGAAAGGACGUGAGAAAGAAUCCAGAGUCUGCAAGCCUUCGUGACACGUCACUGAGUUUCUGAACCUUGAGGACCGUGCCUGGAUUGACCGACAAGCACUUCCUCUCCUCAUUUCCACGGCAAGUCCUUUCUUGAGCAGCCUCCUAUGAUGGGAUGUUUACCCAGUAUUUACAUUUGGUGGAGGAUCCGCGGUUGGUGACAGCUGAGGCUUUACAAGGUGAGCUGGUGACUGCGAGCGGGGCCUCUGAGGACGUCUCCUGCCUUGCCACUGAGUUACGACAGGCUGAACGGGAGGACGCGGUCAGAGCCGGCCACUGGAGCAGACCACAGUGUGCCCUCCCCAGUGAGCUCCCUGAAAUGGCCUGGAACCUGUACAGAGGGGGGAGGGAAGUGCCACCGAUGGUGAGCGUGCCCAUGACCUUGACCACAGAACCGCAUCAGGCAAGCUGACAUCCCGAGAGCCGCUCUCCGAACCUGCUCCUGGCCCACUCAGUGGGGCCAGGCUGGCAGGCAGCAUCCGGGAGUCGAGGGAAGGGGACAGUGGUGGCUUCAGAGGCUAGACGCAGAGAGAGAAGCAGAGGCAGGUGGGAGGGCUGAGACAGGAUUUCAUGGGCUCUGAUCCUGCUUCAGAGUAAAACGGCCAAAGGGAAGGAGAAGCCAGGAUAGCGUGUUUACAUCAGGAGAGGCUCUUUCCAUUAGCUAUUGUGCAAGACAGCAGGAAUGAUGCCUUCCACUCCACGAUUGAUUCCUCGUGAUUUUCCUUUCAUAUAUCAGAAAGCCAGGCUUUCUCCGCUGCAAACACACCGGGAGCAACCAAAGUAGCAACACCGGCUUUUUCGAGAAGUGAGGUUCAUUAUUCGGAGGCCAUCUGAGUUUUAAAACCAUCUGGUCAACAUUGCAGAGACAGGAGUCUCCAGUAGAUGGCAGCACUAAGACAGUAGCGCCCCAUAGUCUCAGACUCCAGAACAUUAUCAUCGUGCGUGAGCAGCUGCACUCCUCGUGUUGGAACCUGUGUUAUGACUCAUUACCAGUGAAAAUAUUCACUAAAUGUGCUAUAGUCAUAACAGGAUGAGUCAUUCAUUCAAUUUUAUUCACUUGUAAAAUAAGAGAAAUAAGAAAGUCCACUUUUCCUGCAACCUCUAAUCCGAGGGCUGUGUGUUUGUGUCCCAAUUUCCAGAAAAUAAACCUGGUGAAUACUGUUGCAAUUCAUUGCUUCAACCAGGAACACUAUCUUUUGCUUGGACACUUGCUUUUGCUAUAAGAUCUGAAAAACUGAAAUUUUGGAUUUCUCCUAUGUAAGACAGACUUUUGG